GUGAGGAAUUUUCCGCAAUGGGCGAAAGCCUGACGGAGCAAUGCCGCGUGAAGGAUGAAGGCCUAUGGGUUGUAAACUUCUUUUCUCAGAAAAGAAUUAUGACGGUAUCUGAGGAAUAAGCAUCGGCUAACUCUGUGCCAGCAGCCGCGGUAAGACAGAGGAUGCAAGCGUUAUCCGGAAUGAUUGGGCAUAAAGCGUCUGUAGGUUGUUUAAAAAGUAUUCUGUCAAAGAUUAGGGCUUAACCCUAGAUAGGCAGAAUAAACUUUUAAGCUAGAGUUUGGUAGAGGCAGAGGGAAUUCCCGGUGGAGCGGUGAAAUGCGUAGAUAUCGGGAGGAACACCAAAGGCGAAGGCACUCUGCUGCGCCAAUACUAACACUGAGAGACGAAAGCGAGGGGAGCAAAUGGGAUUAGAAACCCCUGUAGUCC
rnacentral:rRNA from 1 species